AUGGUCACUUCGGCAGCACAUAUACUAAAAUUGGAGCAACAAUAUAGAGAGGAUUAGCAUGGCCACUGCACAAGGAUGACAUGCAAAUUCGUGAAGUGUUCCAUAUUUUU
rnacentral:snRNA from 1 species